GACCGCGUAGCUCAGUUGGCAGAGCAUAGGGUUGGUAUUCCAAAGGUCGUAGGUUCGAUUCCCACCGUGGUCA